GGGAUAACGGUUAGAAAUGACUGCUAAUACCGCAUAAGCGCACAGGACCGCAUGGUGUAGUGUGAAAAACUCCGGUGGUAUGAGAUGGACCCGCGUCUGAUUAGGUAGUUGGUGGGGUAAAGGCCUACCAAGCCGACGAUCAGUAGCCGACCUGAGAGGGUGACCGGCCACAUUGGGACUGAGACACGGCCCAAACUCCUACGGGAGGCAGCAGUGGGGAAUAUUGCACAAUGGGGGAAACCCUGAUGCAGCGACGCCGCGUGAAGGAAGAAGUAUUUCGGUAUGUAAACUUCUAUCAGCAGGGAAGAAAAUGACGGUACCUGAGUAAGAAGCACCGGCUAAAUACGUGCCAGCAGCCGCGGUAAUACGUAUGGUGCAAGCGUUAUCCGGAUUUACUGGGUGUAAAGGGAGCGUAGACGGAUAGGCAAGUCUGGAGUGAAAACCCAGGGCUCAACCCUGGGACUGCUUUGGAAACUGCAGAUCUGGAGUGCCGGAGAGGUAAGCGGAAUUCCUAGUGUAGCGGUGAAAUGCGUAGAUAUUAGGAGGAACACCAGUGGCGAAGGCGGCUUACUGGACGGUGACUGACGUUGAGGCUCGAAAGCGUGGGGAGCAAACAGGAUUAGAUACCCUGGUAGUCCACGCCGUAAACGAUGACUACUAGGUGU
rnacentral:rRNA from 1 species